GCAAGUCGAACGGUAAAAGGAAUUAGCUUGCUAAUUUGCUGACGAGCGGCGCACGGGUGAGUAACGCGUAUACAAUCUACCUUUUGCUGAGGGAUAGCCCAGAGAAAUUUGGAUUAAUACCUCAUGGUAUUAUUGACAGGCAUCUGUUAAUAAUUAAAGGUUACGGCAAAAGAUGAGUAUGCGUCCCAUUAGCUAGUUGGCGAGGUAACGGCUCACCAAGGCAACGAUGGGUAGGUGGCCUGAGAGGGAGAUC
rnacentral:rRNA from 1 species